rnacentral:rRNA from 1 species
UACAGAGGGUGCAAGCGUUGUUCGGAAUUAUUGGGCGUAAAGCGCGUGUAGGCGGCCUUGCAAGUCGGGUGUGAAAGCCCUCAGCUCAACUGAGGAAGUGCGCCCGAAACUGCAGAGCUUGAGUGCCGGAGAGGAGGGUGGAAUUCCGGGUGGUAGUGGGUGAAAUGCGUAGAGAUCCGGAGGAACCCAGAGGCGAAGGCGGCGCUCUGGCUCGCAACUGACGCUCAGACACGACAGCAUGGGAGCGAACGGG